rnacentral:lncRNA from 1 species
CCGGUGAAAGGAAUCGAAGAACGGAGGUUCUGAGCGAGCUCACCUGCAACAAUGGCGGUGGCGACGGGUGGAGAAGACGGUCAUGGCACCGGGCGUUACACAGCUCUAGACUCAAAACUCUCAAUAGAGGAAUGAGGGAGGAGGGGUGGGGGCUCAAAGUGACGCGCUCGGAAUUCUCUUCCAUAGGCCAAGGAGGGAGAUCGGGUCAUGAACGUCGCCGGGCGGCAUUCGGGGCGCCGGUGCUACAUGGCAUUGAGAGCCACGAUUUGGGGAAGUUAAGGAGAGGAAUGGAAAGAGAAGGGCAGUGAGCUUAGGUUCAUAGCACCUGGACGCGAAACGGGAUAAGGAAGGGCGGGGAAUCGGGGGCUGAGAUCGUGGCGGUGUGCCCGUGCCCUUCUGUUCCUGGCGCACGCACGAGGAGGAAGACGUCCUGGUCGUCCUUUGGGCUGGGGCGGCUCGGCCUGGUAGGUGGGCCGGCCCAGCUGGGUCGGUCCAAACCUUUUUUUUUCUUUUUUUUUUCUAUUUUCUGUUUUUAUUAAUAACUUUUGAUUCCUAAGUCCAAAUAAGUUCAAAUAAACUCCAGAAAAUUUGUAAAUUCAAAUCCUCCAAGGUGUGAGCUUUUGGGACUUGAAUUCUUUCAAAAUAAAAUAAGU